UUGGUACUUAGAAAAAGUGAAUAUUCACGUAUUCCAGUGAAUUUUCACUAAUUCAUGUUUAGAGAGUAUAUUACCAAAAUGCCAACUUUCAUU